rfam:Triticum aestivum genome assembly, contig: Triticum_aestivum_CS42_TGACv1_scaffold_158898_2DL
GUGGCUGUAGUUUAGUGGUGAGAAUUUCACGUUGUGGCUGUGGAGACCUCGGCUUGAAUCCCAGCAGCCACA